ACUUUUUUUGAGUUAAGACGAGGAUAAACUUAAUGAAUCCAUACUGUGAGCGGAUAGGGAAACUGAUAAAAAAGCUGGCGAUAUUUUGUGCCUGACUCAACAUAUUUUUCACUGGAAGAAUUGAACACGCUUUGGCAACAAUAAGGUUUAAACGAUGACUGGAGUAAUGAACAUGCAACGCCUUCGGGUUUUUCUCUAAUAUUCUCCCAGAAAUACCUUUUACCUGGCUGGACACAGCACUAGCACCGUCAUAUCCCUGGCCUCGACAAUUUUGAAGGGAAGCCCGACAUCUUGAAGUGUACUUUGACUAAUGAACGGAAUCAAAUCCAAAGGCGAAACAGUUCGGUAUACAAAUGAAAAUGUUCUUGAAUCAUGUAAAACUUCAAAUUUAUUCAAGAAUGUAUUAAAUUAUCCAGAAAGUAUAAGCUUGGAGUUAUCAUUAAAAAGUGCCUUGCACCAGAUAUUUUCAAUAAUUAGCUAUCGAGACCAUCCUCAGUUGU